UACGGAGGGUGCAAGCGUUACUCGGAAUCACUGGGCGUAAAGAGCGCGUAGGCGGGAUGGCAAGUCAGAUGUGAAAUCCAGGGGCUCAACCCCUGAACUGCAUUUGAAACUGUCGUUCUUGAGUACUGGAGAGGUUGACGGAAUUCCUAGUGUAGCGGUGAAAUGCGUAGAUAUUAGGAGGAACACCAGUGGCGAAGGCGGUCAACUGGACAGCAACUGACGCUGAGGCGCGAAAGCGUGGGGAGCAAACAGG
rnacentral:rRNA from 1 species